UACGUAGGGUGCGAGCGUUGCCCGGAUUUAUUGGGCGUAAAGGGCGCGUAGGCGGUCACGCACGUCCGUUGUGAAAUCGCUCGGCUCAACUGGGCGGGGUCAGCGGAUACGGCGUGGCUGGAGGCAAGCUAGGGGGCAAUGGAAUUCCCGGUGUAGUGGUGGAAUGCGUAGAUAUCGGGAGGAACACCAGUGGCGAAGGCGGUUGCCUGGAGCUUUGCUGACGCUGAUGCGCGAAAGCGUGGGGAGCGAGUCCGG
rnacentral:rRNA from 1 species